GAGGACCCGGGGACCUGGUGGGGUUUGCGCUGCUGCUAGCGGAGGCGGGCGCUUCGGGGCCCCCACCUCUCCGGGGCGAUUCCUGGCUCAAGAAGAAAUGGAAGCAUACUGCCCAUGAAAUUUUGGACAUGGUUUUUUAACAAUAUUACGGGAAAACGUUUCCAGUAAUCGUUCAUUUACAAAAUUUGUGUUCUUGCCACUUUUUGCUUGGCUUGUCCGAUGCUGCUGAUUUGGCACCGUGGCAGCGCCUGCAGAGCACCUGGGGAGCCUUUAAAAUCGCUAACGUCUGGCCCCACCCACUGAUUCAGGGCUAUUGAUGUAGUUCGACUGCAGAGCAAACCGCGUCUCCUGAGGCGCCAGGACCCAUUUUUCUUUCUGGGAAAACCCGAGUAAUAUCCCACUAUAUGGAUAUUUCACAUGUUUUGAUUAUCCAUUUAUCCAUUGAUGGACACUUGAGUUGCUUCAACCUUUGGGCAAUUGUGAAUGAGUCUGCUAUGAACAUUGGUGUACAAGGAUCCGUUUGAGUCCCUACUUUCAAUUCCUUGGAUAUAUAUCUAAGACUGGAAUUGUCAGGUCACAUGCCGAUGCAUAGUCUGUCCAGGACUCCAGCAUUCCCGAGGGCCUUGCAAGGUGGGCAGCCUCCGGCCCAGGGCUCGCCCCUCCGGACCCACCCCUCCGCCCUGAGACUUCAGUGGUCGCCCCCAGAGAGCUCAGCGCGCCUUAAACCCUCCGUCAACCCCUUCUGGUGGCUUCCUUCUGCGGAAAGGCGCCCCGUUGAAAUCCACCCUGAUAUCG